GAACGCACAUUGCGCCCGCCAGUAUUCUGGCGGGCAUGCCUGUUCGAGCGUCAUUUCAACCAUCAAGCCCCCGGCUUGUGUUGGGGACCUGCGGCUGCCGCAGGCCCUGAAAACCAGUGGCGGGCUCGCUAGUCACUCCGAGCGUAGUAGUUACAUCUCGCUCAGGGCGUGCUGCGGGUUCCGGCCGUUAAAAGCCUUAUUUACCCAAGGUUGACCUCGGAUCAGGUAGGAAGACCCGCUGAACUUAAG
rnacentral:misc_RNA from 1 species